rnacentral:rRNA from 1 species
AACGAACGCUGGCGGCAUGCCUAACACAUGCAAGUCGAACGAGACCUUCGGGUCUAGUGGCGCACGGGUGCGUAACGCGUGGGAACCUGCCCUUAGGUUCGGAAUAACUCCCCGAAAGGGGUGCUAAUACCGGAUAAUGUCUUCGGACCAAAGAUUUAUCGCCUUUGGAUGGGCCCGCGUUGGAUUAGCUAGUUGGUAGGGUAAAAGCCUACCAAGGCGACGAUCCAUAGCUGGUCUGAGAGGAUGAUCAGCCACACUGGGACUGAGACACGGCCCAGACUCCGAGGGGGGGCGGCAGGGGGGAAUAUUGGAAAAGGGGCGAAAGCCUGACCCAGCAAUGCCGGGUGAGGGAUGAAGGCCUGAGGGUUGAAAAGCUCUUUUACCCGGGAUGAUAAGGACAGUACGGGGAGAAUAAGCCCCGGCUAACCCCG